UGGAAUUUCCUGCUCUGUAUAUAUAUUUUUAAUGUUUGACCUUCUGCAUAAUGAGAAAUGGUCACUAAGCAAGAGAUGAAUUGACACUCACCACUUCCUCUUUGCACAGACUGCGCUUCAUGUGGAAACUUUAAGCAAGUUAACAAUGACCUUACACAUCAUUAUGUUUGUUUUUUUUUCAUUAAUUUUUGAAGUUUUAACUUCACUACUUAAGUUAGGUGUUUCACUAGUAAUGUAAGCUGAAAGCUUUGCUAUGAGACUCAAAAUUGAGCUCAGGUUCAUCCUGUUUCCAUUGAUCAUCCUUGAGACAUUUCUACAACUUGAUUGGAGUCCACCUGUGGUAAAUUCCAUUGUUUGGACAUGAUUUGGAAAGGCACACAACUGUCUAUAUAAGGUCCACACAGCUGACAGCGCAUGUCAGAGCAAAAAACAAGCCAAACAAGGUCAAUGGAAAAAAACAGACAAAAUCCCGCCCCAAUUUAAUCAAUUUUAGGAUAAGGCUGUAACGUAAUGAAAUGUGGAAAAAUGUCAAGGGGUCUGAAUACUUUCCGAAUGCACUGUACAAUAUUGGCUAUGCAGUAAAUCUGUUUUGUUUACCCCAGAGAUUUAUACUGACUAAAUCAGACUUCCAACUGCAGAUCAUCAUGGGAGAACUGUCUUCUGUACAUUUAGUGUUCUGAAUGUUAUUCUGAUGGUUAUGAUCCUGGUACAUAUCGUGACCUUGGCAUGUCAGAACAGAAGCUGCUUUUAAAAACUAAGACCACCUCAAGAUGCAGACCAGAGGUGGACAUUGACAUCAAACGGAGGUCCUGCCAAAGAUCAUGCAACAGGACCUUUGCUUUCCUUAUCGACCACGACAGCUAACGGUCACAACAGGACCUGAUGACCAAAUUCAACAACACUACCAAGCAUCAGAAGAAGAACUCCCCUGUUAAAGACAUCCUGAAGAUCAAACCUCAACCAAUUAUUUUCCUGUUGUAGCAUACUGACUCAAAUGAAGAUCCUACAUCUAUCUAAAUCAGGGAUGUUCAAUGUCGUUCUUGGAGGGAAGAACCACUACUAAUUCAGACCUGGGACACCAGAGGAGAAAGAAGAGGAGGAAGACGAACGUGACAGAAUCACCCACCACAACCGGGCCAAGCAGCGUGGUAACGGGCAGCAGCAGCAGCGAUCGCAGGACUACUGGA